rnacentral:rRNA from 1 species
UACGAAGGGAGCUAGCGUUGUUCGGAAUCACUGGGCGUAAAGCGCACGUAGGCGGAUUUGUAGGUCAGGGGUGAAAUCCCGGGGCUCAACCUCGGAACUGCCUUUGAUACUGCAAAUCUCGAGUCCGGAAGAGGUGGGUGGAAUUCCUAGUGUAGAGGUGAAAUUCGUAGAUAUCGGGAGGAACACCAGUGGCGAAGGCGACUACCUGGCCCAUUCUUGACGCUGAGGCGCGAAAGCUAGGGGAGCGAACGGG